rnacentral:rRNA from 1 species
UUGACGGGGGCCCGCACAAGCGGUGGAGUAUGUGGUUUAAUUCGAUGCAACGCGAAGAACCUUACCUAGGUUUGACAUGCGGAAGACCUUCCCGAAAAGGAAGGGUGCCCUUCGGGGAAUUCCGAGACAGGUGCUGCAUGGCUGUCGUCAGCUCGUGCCGUGAGGUGUGGGUUAAGUCCCGCAACGAGCGCAACCCUAUUGCCAGUUGCUACCAGGUAAUGCUGGGCACUCUGGUGAGACUGCCCCGGUUAACGGGGAGGAAGGUGGGGACGACGUCAAGUCAUCAUGGCCCUUACGCCUAGGGCUACACACGUACUACAAUGGCGCAUACAAAGGGCAGCGAUACCGCGAGGUGGAGCCAAUCCCAAAAAGUGCGUCCCAGUCCGGAUUGCAGUCUGCAACUCGACUGCAUGAAGUUGGAAUCGCUAGUAAUUCGAGAUCAGCAUGCUCGGGUGAAAUGCGUUCCCGGGCCUU